rnacentral:rRNA from 1 species
GGCUUAUUGAGUUUAAUUUUAGGUCGAUCUGCCCAAUGAUAAUUUAUUGAAUGGCUGCAGUAUAAUUGACUGUACUAAGGUAGCAUAAUAAAUUGUUUUUUAAUUGAAAACUGGAAUGAAAGAAUUGAUGAAAUAUAUACUGUCUCAUAUAUAUAUAUUAUGAAUUUAAAAUUUUAGUAAAAAUGCUGAAAUAUUUUUAUGGGACGAUAAGACCCUAUAGAAUUUUAUAUUAAUAUAAAUUUAUAUAAAAUUUGUAUUAAUAUUUAAUUGGGAGGAUUAAUAAAUUUGAAUAACUUUAUUUUAAAUUAAAACUUUAAUUUAAGAGUAACUUAUUUGAUCUUGUAUUAUUAAUUAAAAGAAAAAAUUACCUUAGGGAUAACAGCGUAAUAUCUUUUUUAAGAUCAAAUUGAUAAAGAUGAUUGCGACCUCGAUGUUGAAUUAAGAUAAAUUUUAAAUGCAGGAGUUUAAUAAUUGAGUCUGUUCGACUUUUAAAAUCUUACAUGAUUUGAGUUCAAAUCGACGUGAGU